rnacentral:lncRNA from 1 species
CUCUUGGUCUCUGAAGAAGCAAAUUUAUAGGGUCACUGUCCUAAGUCUACUACAAUUGUAAAUCAUUCAAAGAUGCAAACUGACAAAUAUCAACUAGAGGAUUAAAUUGCUGUUUAAUUGUCGGAGACAUGUCCACAAUGUAACAAAUGCUCCGAGAGAAGCAAUUUUGAAAAGAGAAGUCCUGAAAUUUGAGGUAAAGGGAAUGUUUUCAUUUACUGUGGACAAAGCCUGGUUCUAUGAUAAGAGGAGUCAUUUAGAGAUGUUUGCAGAAGGUGAUAAAGAUACAAUGAGAGAAGAUGGAAGAAUGAAG